AUGUGCAACGUCUACUUCACAUACAUAAAGGUGAAUCGUCUCCUUUACACGUGCUCACUUGACCCUUUUGAGGAUGGUAUACUACUUGACACUCCACUCGUGUGCAUGCAUAUGUAUUGUCGGAACGCUAUAGACGACGAGGAGGAGUGCGAACGCAAGUGUACAACUACACAAUCUGCGAGGGAAGCCUGGAAGCGACGACGAAAGAAGACAGAGCUGCUGAAGCUACAGCGGCCGGACAUCCGGGCCAGAGGCCGGACAUCCGGCGCCUGGGCAGCCGCCCAGGAGCUGCCCCAAUAG
rnacentral:rRNA from 1 species